rnacentral:rRNA from 1 species
GACGAACGCUGGCGGCGUGCUUAACACAUGCAAGUCGAACGAAGAGCGACGGAAGCUUGCUUCUUUCAAUCUUAGUGGCGCACGGGUGAGUAACGCGUAAUCAACCUGCCCUUCAGAGGGGGACAACAGUUGGAAACGACUGCUAAUACCGCAUACGAUCUAAUCUCGGCAUCGAGGAUGGAUGAAAGGUGGCCUCUACAUGUAAGCUAUCACUGAAGGAGGGGAUUGCGUCUGAUUAGCUAGUUGGAGGGGUAACGGCCCACCAAGGCGAUGAUCAGUAGCCGGUCUGAGAGGAUGAACGGCCACAUUGGGACUGAGACACGGCCCAGACUCCUACGGGAGGCAGCAGUGGGGAAUCUUCCGCAAUGGACGAAAGUCUGACGGAGCAACGCCGCGUGAGUGAUGACGGCCUUCGGGUUGUAAAGCUCUGUUAAUCGGGGAGAAAGGCCUUCUUGCGAAUAGUGAGAAGGAUUGACGGUACCGGAAUAGAAAGCCACGGCUAACUACGUG